rnacentral:rRNA from 1 species
CCAGAGUUGUAAGCUGGAGAGGUGUCGUCGGAUGCGGUCCGGGCUCAAUUUCCUUGGAACAGGAGGUCAUGGAGGGUGAGAACCCCGUAUGUGGCUUGGGUGCCGUGGUCCUUGUGACGUAUCCUCUAAGAGUCGGGUUGUUUGGGAAUGCAGCUCAAAAUGGGUGGUAAAUUUCAUCUAAAGCUAAAUAUUGGUGAGAGACCGAUAGCAAACAAGUAGAGUGAUCGAAAGAUGAAAAGUACUUUGAAAAGAGAGUGAAACAGUACGUGGAAUUGUUGAAAGGGAAGCGUUUGGCAUCAGCCCAUGGCGGCGGUCGAACAUCUGGGCUUCUGCCCAGUGCACUCGGCAGUCGCCGGGCCAGCGUCGGUUCCACCUGCUGGAGAAAGGCCUUGGGGAAGUGGCACUCCCUUGUGGAGUGUGUUAUAACCCAUGGCGUCAUGCAGCUU